CCUACGGGUGGCAGCAGUAGGGAAUCUUUCACAAUGGGCGAAAGCCUGAUGGAGCAACGCCGCGUGCAGGAUGAAGGCCUUCGGGUUGUAAACUUCUUUUAUAAGCGAGAAAUAUGAUGGUAACUUAUGAAUAAGGAUCGGCUAACUACGUGCCAGCAGCCGCGGUCAUACGUAGGAUCCGAGCAUUAUCCGGAGUGACUGGGUGUAAAGAGUUGCGUAGGUGGCAUAAUAAGUAGCUAGUGAAAUCUGGUGGCUUAACCAUUCAGACUAUUAGCUAAACUGUUAAGCUCGAGACCGUUAGAGGUAACUGGAAUUUCGAGUGUAGGAGUGAAAUCCGUAGAUAUUAGAAGGAACACCAAUAGCGUAGGCAGGUUGCUGGGACGGUUCUGACACUAAGGCACGAAAGCGUAGGGAGCAAACGGGAUUAGAUACCCGAGUAGUC
rnacentral:rRNA from 1 species